CCCAACCUAGCUGUCUCCCUGCAGCUCUCCCUGUCUUGUCCUCUCAACCCCACUGGGACCCGACCAGCCUGGACCCUUGUCAUCCCUGCCGCCCCCUGAAGGGAACGAAAGCCCCACAGGAGGGAUGCCAUGCCCUCCUCCAGACUCCACAGGGCCACGCAGCCAACCAGGAAUUGACCUGGUUAUCUUCCUGUGCAGCCCUGGCCCACGCUAAUAUUUCUCCAUGCAGUCAGUGAUGCACCCAUGUACGUCACCAGUAUAUCCAAACAUAUCUUCGACCGGGCCACUGAAGCUCAUUGUAUCUUUCACAUCAACAUUGAAUGACAGACUGAGGUGCAGAAGAGCUGUAAAUAUUAGGAAUAGAACAAAGAUGCAUCACUGUGUGAAGAUGAAGCCCGGACAAUUAAUGUAUACUUAUACUGUACGUUAUUGAUACAUGUCACUGUGCAUUAAGAAGACUGAUAUUUCAGGUUGCACUUCCAUAUACACUUUCACAUUACUCUAGCCAUAGGCUGCUACAAUUUGAGAGGAGUUUGCUAUAGCUGCCAGUGUUGGAGUUGGACUGGGGAGAUCUGGGUUCAAAUCUCUACUCAGUGAUGAAUUCAUGACCUGAGAGUCGUCUUCUCUCAGAUUAACCCACUUCACAGGGUUAGUGUGAGGAUAUAUAGAACAAUGUAACCUUGAGCGCUCUUUGGAGGAAGGGUAGGACAAAAAUGCAGUAAAUAAAUGAAGGCCUAAACUAACAUCCAUAGGUGAACCAAUAUAGCCAGACAAGACAUAAUGAUUUAUUUGGUGAAUAAAAACAAUUGAAUCUGGAAGAUUUAGAUUCUCACAUAA